rnacentral:SRP_RNA from 1 species
GCCGGGCGCGGUGGCGCACGCCUGUAGUCCCAGCUACUCGGGAGGCUGAGGCUGGAGGAUCGCUUGAGUUCAGGAGUUCUGGGCUGUAGUGCGCUAUGCCGAUCGGGUGUCCGCACUAAGUUCGGCAUCAAUAUGGUGUCCUCCCGGGAGCGGGGGACCACCAGGUUGCCUAAGGAGGGGUGAACCGGCCCAGGUCGGAGACGGAGCAGGUCAAAGCUCCCGUGCUGAUCAGAAUACACGAAUGCAUAUACAUCAUGCAUCACACAUUGUUGAUGGUGUAAUUUUUAUU